GCCUACGUGGUGUAGCGGUCAGCACGCUUAACCGAGAGGUCCGUGGUUCGAUUCCUGGCGAAGGCU
rnacentral:tRNA from 1 species